rnacentral:sRNA from 1 species
CUUGGUCAUUUAGAGGAAGUAAAAGUCGUAACAAGGUCUCCGUUGGUGAACCAGCGGAGGGAUCAUUACCGAGUACUAUAACUCAUAACCCUUUGUGAACCUUUAUACCUGUUGCUUCGGCGGCGCGCCUCCCGGGGCGUGCCCGCCGGCAUUAUUAGAAUCUCUGUUCGAACCCGACGAUACAUCUGAGUGUUCUAAGCGAACUGUUAAAACUUUCAACAACGGAUCUCUUGGCUCCAGCAUCGAUGAAGAACGCAGCGAAACGCGAUAUGUAAUGUGAAUUGCAGAAUUCAGUGAAUCAUCGAAUCUUUGAACGCACAUGGCGCCUUCCAGUAUCCUGGGAGGCAUGCCUGUCCGAGCGUCGUUUCAACCCUCGAGCCCCCGUGGCCCGGCGUUGGGGAUCUGCCCAGGCAGUCCCCGAAAACCAGUGGCGGACCCGUUGGGCCCUUCCUUUGCGUAGUAACAUCUGCCUCGCAUCGGGAGCCUGCGGGCUAUCCGGCCUCUAAACCCCCCUCAAGCCCGCUCCGGCGGCACCAAGGUUGACCUCGGAUCAGGUAGGAAUACCCGCUGAACUUAAGCAUAUCAAUAAGCGGAGGAAAAGAAACCAACAGGGAUUGCCUCAGUAACGGCGAGUGAAGCGGCAACAGCUCAAAUUUGAAAUCUGGCUCCUUCGGGGCCCGAGUUGUAAUUUGCAGAGGAUGCUUCGGGUACGGGUUCCUUCCGAGUUCCCUGGAACGGGACGCCAUAGAGGGUGAGAGCCCCGUCUGGUAGGACACCCAGCCCGUGUGAAGCUCCCUCGACGAGUCGAGUUGUUUGGGAAU